rnacentral:rRNA from 1 species
CGAAAGCCUGACGGAGCAACGCCGCGUGGGGGAAGAAGGUUCUUGGAUUGUAAACCCCUUUUCUCAGGGAAGAAGCUCUGACGGUACCUGAGGAAUCAGCCUCGGCUAACUCCGUGCUAGCAGCCGCGGUAAUACGGAGGAGGCAAGCGUUAUCCGGAAUUAUUGGGCGUAAAGCGUCCGCAGGGGGCUCAUCAAGUCUGCUGUCAAAGACCGAGGCUCAACCUCGGGUCGGCAGUGGAAACUGGAUAGCUAGAGGUCGGUAGGGGCAAAGGGAAUUCCCAGUGUAGCGGUGAAAUGCGUAGAUAUUGGGAAGAACACCGGUGGCGAAAGCGCUCUACUGGGUCGCACCUGACCCUCAGGGACGAAAGCUAAGGUAGCG